AUGUCAGCCAGGCUUUGCCGUGAAGCUUUUCCGUCGGGCAUUGCCUCCUACGCAAGGAUGGCAUUUACUCUCUCUCACACACGCGCGCGCGCUUACAUGUGUGUGCUUCAAGCAAACAAACCUGCUGCCUCCCUCCCUAGCUUAGCUAUAGUGAUUACCCUGAUCAUGCGUGUAUGCAAUUACCAUGGAUGGAUCGGCAUCGGCAUCGGCGUCGGCCACACGCAGGAACAUGGCUUAUCUUUAAAUUUAACCAGCCGAUUGGAUCCGGACGUAGUGAUAGUGCUACUAGUUGUAACCGCUGGGGUGUGUGCUCAGCUGUGUUCCGUUUCUUACUUAUCCUUCACGGGAUAA
rnacentral:rRNA from 1 species